rnacentral:rRNA from 1 species
GAUGAACGCUAGCGGCAGGCCUAACACAUGCAAGUCGAACGGCAGCACGGACUUCGGUCUGGUGGCGAGUGGCGCACGGGUGCGUAACGCGUAUACAAUCUACCUUUUACAGGGGGAUAGCCCAGAGAAAUUUGGAUUAAUACCCCAUGGCAUAUAUUUAUGGCAUCAUAUAUAUAUUAAAGAUCCAUCGGUAAGAGAUGAGUAUGCGUUCUAUUAGCUAGUAGGUGCGGUAACGGCGCACCUAGGCUACGAUAGAUAGGGGCCCUGAGAGGGGGAUCCCCCACACUGGUACUGAGACACGGACCAGACUCCUACGGGAGGCAGCAGUGAGGAAUAUUGGACAAUGGGCGAGAGCCUGAUCCAGCCAUGCCGCGUGCAGGAAGACGGCCCUAUGGGUUGUAAACUGCUUUUAUACGGGAAGAAACACCCCCUCGUGAGGGGGCUUGACGGUACCGUAAGAAUAAGGAUCGGCUAACUCCGUGCCAGCAGCCGCGGUAAUACGGAGGAUCCAAGCGUUAUCCGGAAUCAUUGGGUUUAAAGGGUCCGUAGGUGGACGGUUAAGUCAGAGGUGAAAUCCUGCAGCUCAACUGUAGAAUUGCCUUUGAUACUGGUCGUCUUGAGUCGUUGUGAAGUAGUUAGAAUAUGUAGUGUAGCGGUGAAAUGCAUAGAUAUUACAUAGAAUACCGAUUGCGAAGGCAGAUUACUAACAACGUACUGACACUGAUGGACGAAAGCGUGGGGAGCGAACAGGAUUAGAUACCCUGGUAGUCCACGCCGUAAACGAUGGUCACUAGCUGUCCGGACUUCGGUCUGGGUGGCUAAGCGAAAGUGAUAAGUGACCCACCUGGGGAGUACGUUCGCAAGAAUG